rnacentral:rRNA from 1 species
GACGAACCGUGCGAACGUUGUUCGGAAUCACUGGGCUUAAAGGGCGCGUAGGCGGGCUGUCAAGUCUGGGGUGAAAUCCCACGGCUCAACCGUGGAACUGCCUUAGAUACUGACGGCCUCGAGGGAGAUAGGGGCGAGCGGAACUGUGAGUGGAGCGGUGAAAUGCGUUGAUAUUCACAGGAACUCCGGUGGCGAAGGCGGCUCGCUGGAUCUUUUCUAACGCUGAGGCGCGAAAGCUAGGGGAGCAAACGGG